AUUGAACGCUGGCGGCAGGCCUAACACAUGCAAGUCGAACGGUAGCACAGAGAGCUUGCUCUCGGGUGACGAGUGGCGGACGGGUGAGUAAUGUCUGGGAAACUGCCCGAUGGAGGGGGAUAACUACUGGAAACGGUAGCUAAUACCGCAUAACGUCGCAAGACCAAAGAGGGGGACCUUCGGGCCUCUUGCCAUCGGAUGUGCCCAGAUGGGAUUAGCUUGUAGGUGAGGUAACGGCUCACCUAGGCGACGAUCCCUAGCUGGUCUGAGAGGAUGACCAGCCACACUGGAACUGAGACACGGUCCAGACUCCUACGGGAGGCAGCAGUGGGGAAUAUUGCACAAUGGGCGCAAGCCUGAUGCAGCCAUGCCGCGUGUAUGAAGAAGGCCUUCGGGUUGUAAAGUACUUUCAGCGGGGAGGAAGGGAGUGAGGUUAAUAACCUCAUUCAUUGACGUUACCCGCAGAAGAAGCACCGGCUAACUCCGUGCCAGCAGCCGCGGUAAUACGGAGGGUGCGAGCGUUAAUCGGAAUUACUGGGCGUAAAGCGCACGCAGGCGGUCUGUCAAGUCGGAUGUGAAAUCCCCGGGCUCAACCUGGGAACUGCAUUCGAAACUGGCAGGCUGGAGUCUUGUAGAGGGGGGUAGAAUUCCAGGUGUAGCGGUGAAAUGCGUAGAGAUCUGGAGGAAUACCGGUGGCGAAGGCGGCCCCCUGGACAAAGACUGACGCUCAGGUGCGAAAGCGUGGGGAGCAAACAGGAUUAGAUACCCCGGUAGUCCACGCUGUAAACGAUGUCGACUUGGAGGUUGUUCCCUUGAGGAGUGGCUUCCGGAGCUAACGCGUUAAGUCGACCGCCUGGGGAGUACGGCCGCAAGGUUAAAACUCAAAUGAAUUGACGGGGGCCCGCACAAGCGGUGGAGCAUGUGGUUUAAUUCGAUGCAACGCGAAGAACCUUACCUACUCUUGACAUCCAGAGAACUUAGCAGAGAUGCUUUGGUGCCUUCGGGAACUCUGAGACAGGUGCUGCAUGGCUGUCGUCAGCUCGUGUUGUGAAAUGUUGGGUUAAGUCCCGCAACGAGCGCAACCCUUAUCCUUUGUUGCCAGCGAUUCGGUCGGGAACUCAAAGGAGACUGCCAGUGAUAAACUGGAGGAAGGUGGGGAUGACGUCAAGUCAUCAUGGCCCUUACGAGUAGGGCUACACACGUGCUACAAUGGCACAUACAAAGAGAAGCGACCUCGCGAGAGCAAGCGGACCUCAUAAAGUAUGUCGUAGUCCGGAUUGGAGUCUGCAACUCGACUCCAUGAAGUCGGAAUCGCUAGUAAUCGUGGAUCAGAAUGCCACGGUGAAUACGUUCCCGGGCCU
rnacentral:rRNA from 1 species